rnacentral:rRNA from 1 species
ACUUGCUUCUUUGCUGGCGACCGGCGCACGGUGAGUAACACGUAUCCAACCUGCCCUUUACUCGGGGAUAGCCUUUCGAAAGAAAGAUUAAUACCCGAUAGUAUAAUGAUUCCGCAUGGUUUCAUUAUUAAAGGAUUCCGGUAAAGGAUGGGGAUGCGUUCCAUUAGGUUGUUGGUGAGGUAACGGUUCACCAAGCCUUCGAUGGAUAGGGGUUCUGAGAGGAAGGUCCCCCACAUUGGAACUGAGACACGGUCCAAACUCCUACGGGAGGCAGCAUG